UACGAAGGGGGGCUAGCGUUGCUCGGAAUCACUGGGCGUAAAGGGCGCGUAGGCGGCCGAUUAAGUCGGGGGUGAAAGCCUGUGGCUCAACCACAGAAUUGCCUUCGAUACUGGUUGGCUUGAGACCGGAAGAGGACAGCGGAACUGCGAGUGUAGAGGUGAAAUUCGUAGAUAUCGGGAGGAACACCAGUGGCGAAGGCGGCGAUCUGGGAAGAUACUGACGCUGAGGUGCGAAAGCGUGGGGAGCAAACAGG
rnacentral:rRNA from 1 species